CCUGUACCCACACAGACACUGGACACCAAGUCAGGUAACCCCUGUACCCACACAGACACUGGACACCAAGUCAGUUAACCCCUGUACCCACACAGACACUGGACACCAAGUCAGUUAACCCCUGUACCCACACAGACACUGGACACCAAGUCAGGUAACCCCUGUACCCACACAGACACUGGACACCAAGUCAGUUAACCCCUGUACCCACACAGACACUGGACACCAAGUCAGUUAACCCCUGUACCCACACAGACACUGGACACCAAGUCAGGUAACCCCUGUACCCACACAGACACUGGACACCAAGUCAGGUAACCCCUGUACCCACACAGACACUGGACACCAAGUCAGUUAACCCCUGUACCCAC
ensembl:lncRNA